rnacentral:lncRNA from 1 species
GGCGGACGUCAGAAGGAGAAAUAAGAGGUGGGGAUGGAAGUAAAGGGGAGGAAUGGAGGAUGGGGAUGGAGGUGAGGAACAGCCCACGGGGAUGAGGAUGGAAGUGAGGCAGCCGCGAGGAGCAGAGGAUGGAGAAAUAAGAAGUGGGAGGCCGUGAGAGGUAGAAGAUGGGAGGAAGAAGAAGGAGAGGUGGAGAAGGGAGCCAGGAGGACCCUACGGGAGAGGAGAGGGGGUGAGCACGGAUGGGACUCCCCUUUGCGACCCCACGAUGCUCAGCCCUGAUGGGUGUCUGUCGGGGACUUACGCGUGGACCGGCGGGACCGGAAGCACCGGAGGGACCUUGUUCACCAGGAGCGCCCUGUGCACAGCGGGGCACGAGAGAGAGCCCUGUGAGCAUCUCAGGGUGCGGGGCAGCCGACGCCAUCCCCACACCCGGAGGCACUUACGGGAGGACCGGGUGGGCCCUGGAGACCGGAGAAGCCUCUGUGGCCCUUCAUGCCUCUGUCUCCCUGUUCACCGGUCUCGCCUUUGUCGCCGCGAGGACCUUGGGGACCCUGCGGAGGACAUGAGCUGAGCACGACCCCAGCAGCGCGCCGUCCCCAUGGCCACGGGGACGAGGAAGGACGAAGGAGGAGGAGGGAUGGGGACAGAGACUUACAGCAGGACCACGAGCACCAGCGGGACCAGGGGGGCCGGCGGGACCAGCGGGGCCCUGGGACAGGAGGGAGAACGGUCAGAGAACGGUCAGAGCAUCGCCCACAGCAGCGACGGGGCAUCGCCCCACAUGGCACACGGGGGUCGCGUCCCCCCUGUGGGCGGCGCCCUCCUGUGCCGGGAUCCAAGCAGGGGGACAGAGCGACCCCAACCCCGGUCGGCAGGACCGACGGGGCCGGGGCACCGGGGGCACCGGGAGCACCAGGGGGGCCGGCAGGGCCCGUCUCACCACGGUCACCCUGAGAGGAGGAGGAGGAGGAGGAGGAGGAAGAGCAGACAUAAGCACGGAUCGGCACAGCACCGCCGCCCCAACCCACCUCCCCAACCGCGGGCACUCACCUUGGGACCGGCAGCACCGUCACGACCGGGGGCACCUUCGGCACCGGGAGCACCCUAUGGGACAGCAAGACCCCGAAGCCCCCCGUUAGGAUGAGGGAUGCUGACGAGGGGGGGCACAUCGCUGAGCCCGGCACGUCCAGCCUUCACCCUACCUCACGUCCAGCUUCACCAGGGGGGCCAGCAAGGCCGGGGGGGCCCAUGGGGCCGGGAGGACCGCGUUCACCGGGGGAUCCGGAGGGACCCUGCUUGCCGGGUUCGCCCUACGGAGCAGAGAGCGCGGAGGCGUCGGACACCGGCAGCGCCCAUCAGCCCGGGGGGCCGCACGGUGAGCUGGGGGGGUCCCAUGGGUACUCACAGAGGGGCCGGGCAGGCCGGGGAAGCCUCUCUCGCCUCUCUGUCCGGGGAGACCGACGACACCGCGCUGACCGGCGAUACCUUGGGGUCCGGGGGUGCCGGGAGCGCCCUGGGGGGGGGGACGAGCAGCACCUCAACGUGGGCACCUCCCGAUGGAGGGCAGAACCGCGGGGCGACGCGGCCCGGUGUCCGCGGGGGGCUCACGCCGUGGGGUGACUUACAAUGGGGCCGUCGGCGCCGGGGGCGCCCUUCUCGCCGGGGGGGCCGGGGGGGCCAGCAGGGCCGGGUUCACCGGGGCGGCCAGCGGGGCCGGUCUCACCACGGGGUCCUUUGCCACCUUCCUUACCGCUGGGGCCGGGGGGGCCGGGAAGGCCGAUGUUACCCUGGGUGAGGGGGGGGGGUGAUGCAGUCAGACCCCCCCGGCGGUGGGCCCGGGGGCGGCCGGUGCCGAAUGGGCCACGGCGGCCACGCGGAGCCCUUCCCGGCAUCCACACAGCCGCGCGGAGCCGGCAGCCCCCCCACCCCCCGCAACACAUCGCCAUCAGGGGGGGGGCACAGCACUCACGGAGGGGCCGGGGGGACCGACUCUUCCAGCAGCACCAGGGAAACCAGUAGCACCCUGCGGGGGACAAACGCUGCGGUCAGGGGGGGCUGCGACCCACGGGGGGGCACCUCCUGCUGCCCCCUGCGCCAGCGGCCCCCCCAGACUCAAAGCUCGCCCCACGGGGGGGGGGUACAGCUUUGAGUUUGGGGGAGAGAGGGGAGAAACGAGCAGCCUUCACCCACCCCCCCACGGGACCGACCCCCCCUCCCCACGUGUGACGUCACCCACCCGAACAGCUUCGGGGUGCGCACCCAUAGUUUGGGGUCGGGACGCAGGGGGGGCUGAGCCACCCAUAGGCGCACACACACCCACCUCCCCCCCAACCCGGGGGGCCACGCAACCCCCCCAUAAAGCCCAUAUACUUACAGGGGGUCCAGCGCUUCCGCGAGCGCCUUUGGGACCGGGAGCACCAACAGCACCCUAUGGGGGUAUGGGGGGGGGAGAGAGGGGUGAGCCACACUGUGCAGACGUCUCCUUGGGGGGGGUAAUUGGGGGGGGGGGGGACACUUACGGCAGGGCCGGGAGCACCAGUGGGGCCAGCGGGGCCAGGGGGGCCGGCGUC